UGAAAUCGAAAUACACGAAAAUCGAAAAGUGCUGUGCUGUGCUGUUUCGGAUCUCCCUUCUCUUCUUCUUCUUUCUCUUUUUCUCGACUCUUUUUCUCUGUUCUUUCCUUUCCUUUCCUUCUUUUCUGUGU
rnacentral:ribozyme from 1 species